rnacentral:lncRNA from 1 species
CUGGCAAUUUUGAGAAAUAGGGAACAUACUGAAAAGCAUCAGUCAGAUGAUUUCGACCUUCAAAAGUGGCAAUAACACUCACUUCCUUACGGCCCAUGUCGUAGGACAUUAAUUCACGCCCCGACUUUGUAAAGAAAACCACAUUGCAAUCUUGAUGAAUGUUAAAUACAAAAAAGCCCCACAUGUUGCCUAUGCAAUUUUCUCCAGAGAGCUCGAGAGUGUCCUUCAACACCCAUUCUUGUGUAUCAUAAUCCUGAAGAACCCAGAUACGCAGUUGGUACCUCUCCUGAUGAGCAUCUGAAAAUCCUUGAGUCGUGUAAUGCAGGAGCCCUUGGGAUUGACCAAGAUAACACCCAGGUGAAUAAGCCACCUGUGGCAGUGUGAUCAUCCUCCGUGCCUUGCCUUGUAAAUCUACAGCAAGUACCUUAGGUUGACCAGAGUCCCAAACCACCAAAUGCAGGAAGCCAUUAACAAAGGCGCACCGAGAACCCUCAGUGCCAACACCCCCACUCAUACAUAGUCUGACCUGAUAAUCACGCCAUCCUUCCGAUUGUCCUAGCUCUUCUUGUUCGUCAAUUUGGUUGCGACUCCAGGUCCCGGUUUCUGAGGAGUAAAUGUUCACUGAAACCAACCGGUCGUUGGAGCCCACCUUGAAGUGGACCAAGUGGAAGUGAGAUGAUACGGCCGGAUCGAAGGCCAAAUAGGUGUAGGUAAACGAUGCAGUAGAGCCGCAAGUGGGCACAGCUACCCAUUGCUUUGUGGUUGGGUUGCACACAAUAUAGCCCAAUGUGCUUUGAGGUAAGGAGUAUAUCUUGUGGCGGUUCUCGAAGAGGAUAAGCCCGUUGCAGGAAUUCCGGGAGACGAGGCACUGGAUCUCAGGCAGUUCCGUCAGGAAGGAGAAGCCAGGGUCGAUGUCCAGAGGCACGGAUCUCGUUGUCAGGUCGAUGAAACUGUAAAUAUACUCCAAAUCGUACAGCUCAAAAGCGGUAAUGUCGUAGCCCUCCGGGUACUCGAGCGUCCUGUAGAAGAGUCCUUGCAUGGCUUGCCGGAGCUUCUUCCGGUUGUCCGCAAUGAGGCCGAGCCAGGCCUUGGACACGCACUCGAACCGGCAGACG